UUAAGCGACUAAGCGUACACGGUGGAUGCCCUGGCAGUCAGAGGCGAUGAAGGACGUGCUAAUCUGCGAUAAGCGUCGGUAAGGUGAUAUGAACCGUUAUAACCGGCGAUUUCCGAAUGGGGAAACCCAGUGUGUUUCGACACACUAUCAUUAACUGAAUCCAUAGGUUAAUGAGGCGAACCGGGGGAACUGAAACAUCUAAGUACCCCGAGGAAAAGAAAUCAACCGAGAUUCCCCCAGUAGCGGCGAGCGAACGGGGAGCAGCCCAGAGCCUGAAUCAGUGUGUGUGUUAGUGGAAGCGUCUGGAAAGGCGCGCGAUACAGGGUGACAGCCCCGUACACAAAAAUGCACAUGCUGUGAGCUCGAUGAGUAGGGCGGGACACGUGGUAUCCUGUCUGAAUAUGGGGGGACCAUCCUCCAAGGCUAAAUACUCCUGACUGACCGAUAGUGAACCAGUACCGUGAGGGAAAGGCGAAAAGAACCCCGGCGAGGGGAGUGAAAAAGAACCUGAAACCGUGUACGUACAAGCAGUGGGAGCACGCUUCGGCGUGUGACUGCGUACCUUUUGUAUAAUGGGUCAGCGACUUAUAUUCUGUAGCAAGGUUAACCGAAUAGGGGAGCCGAAGGGAAACCGAGUCUUAACUGGGCGUUAAGUUGCAGGGUAUAGACCCGAAACCCGGUGAUCUAGCCAUGGGCAGGUUGAAGGUUGGGUAACACUAACUGGAGGACCGAACCGACUAAUGUUGAAAAAUUAGCGGAUGACUUGUGGCUGGGGGUGAAAGGCCAAUCAAACCGGGAGAUAGCUGGUUCUCCCCGAAAGCUAUUUAGGUAGCGCCUCGUGAAUUCAUCUCCGGGGGUAGAGCACUGUUUCGGCAAGGGGGUCAUCCCGACUUACCAACCCGAUGCAAACUGCGAAUACCGGAGAAUGUUAUCACGGGAGACACACGGCGGGUGCUAACGUCCGUCGUGAAGAGGGAAACAACCCAGACCGCCAGCUAAGGUCCCAAAGUCAUGGUUAAGUGGGAAACGAUGUGGGAAGGCCCAGACAGCCAGGAUGUUGGCUUAGAAGCAGCCAUCAUUUAAAGAAAGCGUAAUAGCUCACUGGUCGAGUCGGCCUGCGCGGAAGAUGUAACGGGGCUAAACCAUGCACCGAAGCUGCGGCAGCGACACUAUGUGUUGUUGGGUAGGGGAGCGUUCUGUAAGCCUGUGAAGGUGUGCUGUGAGGCAUGCUGGAGGUAUCAGAAGUGCGAAUGCUGACAUAAGUAACGAUAAAGCGGGUGAAAAGCCCGCUCGCCGGAAGACCAAGGGUUCCUGUCCAACGUUAAUCGGGGCAGGGUGAGUCGACCCCUAAGGCGAGGCCGAAAGGCGUAGUCGAUGGGAAACAGGUUAAUAUUCCUGUACUUGGUGUUACUGCGAAGGGGGGACGGAGAAGGCUAUGUUGGCCGGGCGACGGUUGUCCCGGUUUAAGCGUGUAGGCUGGUUUUCCAGGCAAAUCCGGAAAAUCAAGGCUGAGGCGUGAUGACGAGGCACUACGGUGCUGAAGCAACAAAUGCCCUGCUUCCAGGAAAAGCCUCUAAGCAUCAGGUAACAUCAAAUCGUACCCCAAACCGACACAGGUGGUCAGGUAGAGAAUACCAAGGCGCUUGAGAGAACUCGGGUGAAGGAACUAGGCAAAAUGGUGCCGUAACUUCGGGAGAAGGCACGCUGAUAUGUAGGUGAAGCGACUUGCUCGUGGAGCUGAAAUCAGUCGAAGAUACCAGCUGGCUGCAACUGUUUAUUAAAAACACAGCACUGUGCAAACACGAAAGUGGACGUAUACGGUGUGACGCCUGCCCGGUGCCGGAAGGUUAAUUGAUGGGGUUAGCGCAAGCGAAGCUCUUGAUCGAAGCCCCGGUAAACGGCGGCCGUAACUAUAACGGUCCUAAGGUAGCGAAAUUCCUUGUCGGGUAAGUUCCGACCUGCACGAAUGGCGUAAUGAUGGCCAGGCUGUCUCCACCCGAGACUCAGUGAAAUUGAACUCGCUGUGAAGAUGCAGUGUACCCGCGGCAAGACGGAAAGACCCCGUGAACCUUUACUAUAGCUUGACACUGAACAUUGAGCCUUGAUGUGUAGGAUAGGUGGGAGGCUUUGAAGUGUGGACGCCAGUCUGCAUGGAGCCGACCUUGAAAUACCACCCUUUAAUGUUUGAUGUUCUAACGUUGACCCGUAAUCCGGGUUGCGGACAGUGUCUGGUGGGUAGUUUGACUGGGGCGGUCUCCUCCUAAAGAGUAACGGAGGAGCACGAAGGUUGGCUAAUCCUGGUCGGACAUCAGGAGGUUAGUGCAAUGGCAUAAGCCAGCUUGACUGCGAGCGUGACGGCGCGAGCAGGUGCGAAAGCAGGUCAUAGUGAUCCGGUGGUUCUGAAUGGAAGGGCCAUCGCUCAACGGAUAAAAGGUACUCCGGGGAUAACAGGCUGAUACCGCCCAAGAGUUCAUAUCGACGGCGGUGUUUGGCACCUCGAUGUCGGCUCAUCACAUCCUGGGGCUGAAGUAGGUCCCAAGGGUAUGGCUGUUCGCCAUUUAAAGUGGUACGCGAGCUGGGUUUAGAACGUCGUGAGACAGUUCGGUCCCUAUCUGCCGUGGGCGCUGGAGAACUGAGGGGGGCUGCUCCUAGUACGAGAGGACCGGAGUGGACGCAUCACUGGUGUUCGGGUUGUCAUGCCAAUGGCACUGCCCGGUAGCUAAAUGCGGAAGAGAUAAGUGCUGAAAGCAUCUAAGCACGAAACUUGCCCCGAGAUGAGUUCUCCCUGACCCUUUAAGGGUCCUGAAGGAACGUUGAAGACGACGACGUUGAUAGGCCGGGUGUGUAAGCGCAGCGAUGCGUUGAGCUAACCGGUACUAAUGAACCGUGAGGCUUAACCUU
rnacentral:rRNA from 1 species